CUCGUCAUCCCCAGGAAACCUGAAGUAAAAUUAUAACAAAAUGUCACGAAAUUGUUCAUUUUUCUCCGAUUCUGCGCAACGACAGCUCUUUCGAGGUUCACCAGCGUGUAGAUGACAAAGACCUUGGAUCUGGGAGGCAAAAAAGUGCAACGUCGGGCCUGGAAGAUGUAGAACAAGAUACCUGGGUGACCCUUAAGAAUUGGCUGAACUUUCCCCCGUGUUAUAAACAAAAGCUGACCAGGACUAGGGAGAUGUGUGGCCGGCAUCUCGCUUCUUCCAUCUUGUCACCAUGUCACCGUUGACAGGCUCCUCCCGACAUGUGGGGCAUUGCGGAGCUCAUGUCGAUCCUCAGAGUUU